GACGAACGCUGGCGGCGUGCUUAACACAUGCAAGUCGAGCGGUAAGGCCCUUUCGGGGGUACACGAGCGGCGAACGGGUGAGUAACACGUGGGUGACCUGCCUUUAGCUCUGGGAUAAGCCUGGGAAACCGGGUCUAAUACCGGAUAUGACUCCGCGGCGCAUGUUGUGGGGUGGAAAGCCUUGUGCGGCUGGAGAUGGGCCCGCGGCCUAUCAGCUUGUUGGUGGGGUGAUGGCCUACCAAGGCGACGACGGGUAGCCGGCCUGAGAGGGCGACCGGCCACACUGGGACUGAGACACGGCCCACGACUCCUACGGGAGGCAGCAGUGGGGAAGUCUUGCGCAAUGGGCGAAAGCCUGACGCAGCGACGCCGCGUGAGGGAUGACGGCC
rnacentral:rRNA from 1 species